rnacentral:rRNA from 1 species
UACGUAGGGUGCGAGCGUUGUCCGGAAUUAUUGGGCGUAAAGAGCUCGUAGGCGGUUUGUUGCGUCUAUCGUGGAAACCUGCAGCUUAACUGUGGGCUUGCGGUGGAUACGGGCAGACUUGAGUUCGGUAGGGGAGACUGGAAUUCCUGGUGUAGCGGUGAAAUGCGCAGAUAUCAGGAGGAACACCGGUGGCGAAGGCGGGUCUCUGGGCCGAUACUGACGCUGAGGAGCGAAAGCGUGGGGAGCGAACAGG